rfam:Flavobacterium sp. A45 NODE_9_length_108240_cov_14.89_ID_17, whole genome shotgun sequence.
AUGUUAUAAAGAAAGGCAGAGGGAUUAGACCCGAUGAAGCCUUAGCAACCCUUCGAUUUAUCGAAGAAGGUGCUGCAUUCUACCACGCCCAACGUGGAAAGAUAACAC